rnacentral:rRNA from 13 species
CACAGACAGCUAGGAGGUUGGCUUAGAAGCAGCCAUCCUUUAAAGAAAGCGUAAUAGCUCACUAGUCGAGUCGGCCUGCGCGGAAGAUAUAUCGGGGCUAAACUGAUAACCGAAGCUGUGGAUGCGUACUUUGUACGUGUGGUAGAGGAGCGUUCUGUAAGCCGUUGAAGGUGAAUCGUAAGGUUUGCUGGAGGUAUCAGAAGUGCGAAUGCUGACAUGAGUAACGAUAAUGGGGGUGAAAAACCUCCACGCCGGAAGACCAAGGGUUCCUGCGCAACGCUAAUCGGCGCAGGGUGAGCCGGCCCCUAAGACGAGCCCGAAGGGGGUAGUCGAUGGGAACCACGUUAAUAUUCGUGGGCCAGGAGGAUGUGACGGAUCAUGAAGGUUGUUCACUCUUAUUGGAUUGAGUGGGCCGCUAAUUGGUUCCUGGAAAUAGCCCUCCAUCAGACCGUACCCUAAACCAACACAGGUGGACUGGUAGAGAAUACCAAGGCGCUUGAGAGAACUAUCUUGAAGGAACUCGGCAAAAUACCUCCGUAAGUUCGCGAGAAGGAGGCCCAGUUCUAAGGCAACUUGGAGCUGGGGGCACAAACCAGGGGGUGGCGACUGUUUACUAAAAACACAGGGCUCUGCGAAGUCGCAAGACGACGUAUAGGGUCUGACGCCUGCCCGGUGCCUGAAGGUUAAAAGGAGGGGUGAGAGCUCUGAAUUGAAGCCCAGGUAAACGGCGGCCGUAACAAUAACGGUCCUAAGGUAGCGAAAUUCCUUGUCGGGUAAGUUCCGACCUGCACGAAUGGCGUAACGACUUCCCCACUGUCUCAACUGGAGGCCCAGCGAAAUUGGAGUGCGCGUGCAGAUACGCGCUACCCGCAGAAGGACGAAAAGACCCCGUGAACCUUUACUGUAGCUUGGCAUUGGGUUUCGAAUAACAUUGCGUAGGAUAGGUGGGAGUUUUUGAUCUGUGCAUUCCGGUGUACAGGGAGACAACCUUGAAAUACCACCCUUUGUUAUUUGGAAUCCUAACCUACUGUCGUUAUCCGGCAGGGGGACAAUGUCUGGUGGGCAGUUUGACUGGGGCGGUCGCCUCCUAAACAGUAACGGAGGCGCACGAAGGUUCCCUCAGGCCGUAUGGAAACCGGCCGUAGAGUGUAAGCGCAUAAGGGAGCUUGACUGUGAGACUUACAAGUCGAGCAGGUACGAAAGUAGGUGUUAGUGAUCCGGUGGUUCCGCGUGGAAGGGCCAUCGCUCAACGGAUAAAAGGUACUCCGGGGAUAACAGGCUGAUACCGCCCAAGAGUUCACAUCGACGGCGGUGUUUGGCACCUCGAUGUCGGCUCAUCACAUCCUGGGGCUGAAGCCGGUCCCAAGGGUAUGGCUGUUCGCCAUUUAAAGUGGUACGCGAGCUGGGUUUAGAACGUCGUGAGACAGUUCGGUCCCUAUCUGCCGUGGACGUUGGAGAUUUGAGGAAAGCUGCUCCUAGUACGAGAGGACCGGAGUGGACGAACCUCUGGUGUUCCGGUUGUUUCGCCAGAAGCAUUGCCGGGUAGCUAAGUUCGGACGGGAUAACCGCUGAAAGCAUCUAAGCGGGAAGCCUCCCUCGAAACCAGAAUUCCCUUGAGAACCGUGGAAGACCACCACGUUGAUAGGCCGGGUGUGGAAGAGCAGUAAUGUGUGGAGCUAACCGGUCCUAAUAGUUCUU